ensembl:antisense Gm15677 predicted gene 15677
ACAGGCACCACAGGACUUUGGCUGGGCUCACUCAAGAAAACAUACUGGAAGCCAGGUGUCCCCUGGAGUGCCACGAUCGCUGGCGCCCCCUCGGGCUGCCCGAUGCAAAAGUUACCUGGUGGAGGCGUCUCUGCAACUAACUUCUCCCUCUUGGGAGCCUUCUUGGGCUUGAUGGCCUUCUUGGGAGUUCUGUGGCCCUGCUGGUGCGGCUCCUGCUGUUCCUGCUCCUCCACCCUAAGGUCUUCAUGCAUUGAAGGCGAGAAAAGCUCCGGCUCCGGCUCAGGCUCCGGAUGCCCAUAAUAGCGCCCGCGCCGCCAGAGCUCCUGGCUGUAAUAGUCAGGCUCCUCGAAGGCUGCGCCCUGGGCUCUGACUCCAGCCAGGGCCACCGCCACAAGUGCCAGGGCCAGCGCCAGCGCAGGGCAGGCGGUCCCCAGACGGGCCAUGCCCGCUCUGCCCCGCACCCAGGAACAAAUCUGAUUAAGACUGGCUAAGGUAAUAACCAGCAGGCUGCCCUCCAGUCGUUUUGCCCCAGCCCGUGGAGGAAUCCCGGAUUCCCUGGAGGAAGUUCCCUGGGAGCAGGGCCUAAGGGCCUGGGAACCCCUGCUGCCUACCGUCCAGAGUGUGGCUCUGUAGGAGAGAAUAGAGCCAGCCGAAGACUACUAUCUCACAAGUCACAAGAGGGCAUUUGUCUUUUCCAGGAAUCCAGGCUUCUCUGGAGAACCCUGGUGUCACCUUCCCUUUGAUAAAGUGCCUCCCAUCUUUACCC